rnacentral:rRNA from 1 species
ACUCAAAGGAAUUGACGGGGGCCCGCACAAGCGGUGGAGCAUGUGGUUUAAUUCGACGCAACGCGCAGAACCUUACCAGGGCUUGACAUGGAGGUGACCGGACGAGAGAUCGUCCUUCUCCCGCAAGGGAGCACCUCACACAGGUGCUGCAUGGCUGUCGUCAGCUCGUGUCGUGAGAUGUUGGGUUAAGUCCCGCAACGAGCGCAACCCUCGUUUCUAGUUGCCAUCAUUCAGUUGGGCACUCUAGAGAGACUGCCGCGAAUAACGCGGAGGAAGGUGGGGACGACGUCAAGUCAUCAUGGCCCUUACGUCCUGGGCUACACACGUGCUACAAUGGGCGUCACAGAGGGUCGCAAGAGCGCAAGCUGGAGCCAAUCCCCAAAAACGUCCUCAGUUCAGAUCGAGGUCUGCAACCCGACCUCGUGAAGGUGGAAUCGCUAGUAAUCGCGGAUCAGAACGCCGCGGUGAAUACGUUCCCGGGCCUUGUACACACCGCCCGU